rnacentral:rRNA from 1 species
UAACCUGGUUGAUCCUGCCAGUAGUCAUAUGCUUCGUUCAAGGGCUAAGCCAUGCAUGUCUCAGCGCACACGGUUAAGACAGUGGGUCUGUGAAUGGCUCCUUACAUCAGCAGUCAUCUAUGUGAUAGUGUGUGGGUGGCACACUUGCCAGGUGCCCAGUUGGACAUCCUCCAUAACCUUGUGGCUAAUACACGAAUGCCAAGGUCGGCCACAUCACAGUUGCCAGCGGUUUGCUGCCCAUUGGUGGUGGAUUGCGCCCAGCUGAUAUGAAGACCAGCGCCCCACAAGGGCAGUGUGUUGUGGUUGAUUCAGGCUGGUCCCUUGGGACAGUUGCACUGGCAGAGUGGUGGCUUAUGCCACAUCAUUGCUUGAUCACAUGAACUUCUGACCUAUCAGCUAGACUGUGGUGUAGUGGACCACAGUGGCUAUGACGGGUGACGGAGAAUUAGGGUUCGAUUCCGGAGAGGGAGCCUGAGAAAUGGCUACCAUUACUAAGGUGAGCAGCAGGCGCGCAAAUUGCCCAAUGCAAGAACAUCCUGCGAGGCAGCGACGAACUGCAGCAAUCCUGCUGGUAUCUUCACCAGCAGGACUUGGAAUGGAUGCAAUCCAAACACAGUGAUGAGUAUCAACUGGAGGGCAAGUCUGGUGCCAGCAGCUGCGGUAAUUCCAGCUCCAAGGGCGUAUACUAACAUUGCUGCUGUUAAAACACCUGUAGUCUGCCACAGGGUUGCAGGUCUGCUGGGUGGCCUGGGGCAUGGUUUAAGUGGCUCGAGUCUCCGGGCUUGGGUUACCUCAGCUGUGACCUGGGAUCAAACCCCCAGUGGUAUGUCCUGCACCCGAUCUAUUGAUGGUGAGAUCGCUCCUGCCGAAAGUCUCCUUCAGUGGGGGCCAAAGUGGUCAUGCUGCUAAUGCCAGAGUGAGGCACCAGGGUGGGUCCGGACACCUGGGACAAGGACCACCCGCCUCACCACCGGGGCCCACCAUUGCUGAAACCCUGGAAAACUCAGUGUGCUCAAAGCAUCCUGCCUAUGGCUGAAUGUCUAUCCAUGGAAUUUCAAAGCAUCGACCGAGUGAGGCAUUGGAGUUGUGCUGGUCUUGGAGUCCGCUCAGGGCAAUGUGGUGCUUGACCCUCAACUGGAUCAGGUGUGUGAUGAUAUCUCAUAGCACAUUCUGUGAAGGCCACAGGCAUGCAUCGACCGGAGAUGAUGGGAUUGCUCAGGGUGAAAGGUAUUGCAGCGCCAGAGGUGAAAUUCUUAGACCGCUGCAAGACCAACUGCAGCGAAGGCGUUCUGCAAGUGCAUGUUCGUCGAUCAAGGAUGAGAGUCCGGGGAGCCAAGAUGAUCAGACACCGUCGUAGUCCGGUACUGUAAACCGUGCCAGCUCGGCAUUGGCUGGGAAAGUACAAAGACCCAGCCAGUGCCAUGCCCCCUACAACGAGAAAUCCACAGCCUGUGGGUUCAGGGGGGAGUACAUUCGCAAGGCUGAAACUUAAAGGAAUUGACGGAAUGGCACCACAAGGCGUGGAGUAUGCGGCUUAAUUUGACUCAACACGGGGAAUGUUACCAGGUCAGGACGCAGCUGGGAUGGACAGAUUGAGAGCUCUUUCUUGAUCCUGUGGACGGUGGUGCAUGGCCGCUCCUGAUUGGUGGAGUGAUUUGUCUGGUUGAUUCCGAUAACGAGUGAGAUAUCUGCCUCCCAAUAGCCUCUGGCUCGCAUUUGGUAGGGACAGGUUCCAUGGGUUAAGGCCUCUGGGUUUACUUGGAGGUCUGCUGUGGGAUCCCCGAGAGCCUUGAGUUCAGCUUCUCUGAGGUGCUGUGUACGCUGCCAAGUGCAUGCAUGCUAGAGCCAACAGCAGGUCUGUGAUGCUCCCAGAUGUCCUGGGCCGCACGCGCACUACAUUGACUCAGUGAAGGAGUCCAAUGCUCGCUUGUCGAGCCCUGGCUGGAAGUGGCUGGGAAACCCUGCAAGACUGUGCCGUACUGGGGAUAGAUGAUUGCAACUGUCUGCCUUGAACGUGGAAUGCCUAGUAGGCGUUGGUCAUCAGCCAACACCGAUUGUGUCCCUGCCAUUUGUACACACCGCCCGUCGUUGCUACCGAUGAUAGCUGGAUAGAACCAUCAGGAGGUCAAGUCACCCUUGGGUAACCCAGCCGAAAUUGGGUAAUGUCCAGCUGUUAGAGAAGCAAAAGUCGUAACAAGGUUGCUGUAGGUGAACCUGCAGAAGGAUCAA